ACUCAUUUUUGAUUUGGUCACUUGCCCUCUCACUAGUUAAAAAUUUAAUGGAAAUGGUGGGGUGAGCUUUUUUUUACUUGGUAUAAUAAUAUAUUUAGUCCUUAACACUUAUACAUUCUAUCAAAUAAGCUCUAAUUCUAAGCAGCAAAUUUAAUCUAAAUUCUAUCAAUUUAAUACUCCAACAAUACUAUUAAUUUGAGGAAUGACUGAGAAAUGGCAGUUUGAGUUUUUUUUCCUGCUUAUAAUUGACUAUGUAUGUAACAACUUGUCAAAUAAAAUGACAAAAAAAAAAAAGAAAUAAAAUAUACGUAAUAGGCCAAUUAACCCAAGCCUAGACUAAACCCAAAUGAGCCCAAACAGUAGCCCGAAACCAAUAGCAGAGGAAGGAUCGGGAAACCCUAGUAGCAGUUUCGCGCGUGUGCCAGUGGCUGUCACUUUCCACGCACGUCGUGCACGUCUCCUCCAGUGUCCCUGAAACGGAUCACAAACUGCAGCAAAGGCAAGGAAAAUGGGGUAACAGAAGAUAAAAGGGGAAAAUUACAACAAAUGCAAGGGGGUUUUUGGAGAGUUCUUUUUGGUCUGUUAUUUUGGGGGAAUAAAAGGUCGAUUUUCAAUCGGUAAAAGGGGGAGAAAAUGGAUACAAAAUUGGUGUGAGGAAUAUUGUGUCGAAAACUAUUGAAAAAAAAGAGAGAGAUAGCAAUUUAAGGGUGAUUUGCUUUUACUUUUUUCGAAUUUUCUUCAUUUUUUUUCUGAUCUU
rnacentral:lncRNA from 1 species